rnacentral:misc_RNA from 1 species
AACGCAUAUUGCGCCCUUUGGCAUUCCGAAGGGCAUGCCUGUUCGAGCGUCAUUAUCACCCCUCAAGCCCCGGCUUGGUGUUGGGCUCCCGGUGGUCGUACCCGACCACCCGCCCCAAAGAUAGUGACGGCGUCCCAGAGGGAACCGGUACGAGGAGCUUUCACGAGCAUGUACGCGGGACGACUCUGCGGGCGACGGUCUUUUUUAACUUAGUAAAGUGUUGACCUCGGAUCAGGUAGGAAUACCCGCUGAACUUAA